rnacentral:rRNA from 1 species
UACGUAGGGUGCAAGCGUUGUCCGGAAUUAUUGGGCGUAAAGAGCUCGUAGGCGGUCUGUCGCGUCUGCUGUGAAAACUCAGGGCUUAACCCUGAGCUUGCAGUGGGUACGGGCAGACUAGAGUGCGGUAGGGGAGACUGGAAUUCCUGGUGUAGCGGUGAAAUGCGCAGAUAUCAGGAGGAACACCGGUGGCGAAGGCGGGUCUCUGGGCCGAUGACUGACGCUGGAGGA